UUUUUUUUUUUUUUUUUUCCUCCCCUUAAGAAAAGCAAAAGUUUUCCUGGAAGUCCCAUCCAAGACUUGUAUCCAUGUUAUUGGCAGAACCUGUCACACAACCAACUCUAACUUCAAAGGGUCCCAGGAGAUCAAGCAGCUUCAACUGUGCACACUGCAGCUCUGACAAAGUAGGGCUCUGUCAUUAGAGAAGAGAAUGAAAACAGAAUAAGCAGCUGGCAGUGUCUACACCACACAUAUAUGGUAUACACACUAGAAGUCGAAAGAAGAAAAAUAAAAACCAAGUCUUAAUGAAAUAAUAAUCUAAUAAAACUAUAACGUUUAACAAAAAUACAAAAACUCACAAUUUAUUCUUCUCUCAAAUUCUAUAUUCAGGCAUGCCACUGUGAAAAGAUUGCUAUUUAAGAUUCGCAUGAGUUGGUUUUUAUAAAAUAUCUGGCAAAGACAGCAAAGUUUACAUCAAUAUCUGAGCUGGUUAUAAGAUUAUUUCCUCAGAGUUCCCACUGUGGUGCAGUGGAAACAAGUCUAACUAGGAACCAUGAGGUUGCAGGUUCGAUCCCUGGCCUUGUUCAGUGGGUUAAGGAUCCGGCAUUGCCGUUGAGCUAUGGUGUAGGUCGCAGACACAGCUCAGAUUCUGUGUUCCCGUGGCUAUGGCAUAGGCCGGCAUCUGUAGCUCUGUUUUGACCCCUAGCCUAGGAAUCUCCAUAUGCUGAAGGUGCAGCCCUAAAAAGCAAAGAGAAAAAAAAAAAGAUUAUUUCCCCUAUGCAGAGAAAACCUAGCACAAAGGCAGGGCACGGAACAAAAGCAUUUGUAAUACAUAUUUAACACAGGACUCAUAGCCAGGAUAUAUAAAGAACUGUAAGUCAGUAAGAAAAAGACAGAAAAUUCAAUAGAAAAAAGUGAACAAAAAUAAAAUCUUGAACAGCAACUUCACCAAAGUUAAAAUCCAAAUGGCCACUGAGUAUAUAUGAAAAAUGCUCAACUUUACUCGUCCUCAGUGAAAUGCUAAUUAAAACCACAGCAUGAUACCAUUUUAACCCAUCAGAAGCGACAACAGCGGCUAAACUGGAGAGGCCAGGAUGUGGAGCACCUGGAACUCUCAAAUCCUGCCUGGGGGCGUGUAAACUGGUACAAACCCUUUAGAAAACUCCUUGGCAGUACCUUCUAGUACAUGCAUUUCCCAUAUCCCAGAAAUUUCUCAACUUGGUAUAUACCCCACAGACAUUUAUAGUCACCAAAAAAAAUGCAUAUGCAAUGUCCACAAACACUGGAAACAAUUCCUCUACCAGGAGUAGAACAGGACAAAACAAUCUGUUUUGACUGAGAAUGAAAGAACCACACACAAGGAUGUGUAUCAGAAACCAUUAAGGUGAAACAAAGGAAUAAGACAUAAAAGAAGCCACCUAAAACUAAGUGUUUGACUUCCAUUUAUGAAGCAAAUAACAAGCAAACUCAUCCACGUGGGAAAUGACUACUACUAAUGGGUACUGGGUUUUGUUCUCUGAAUUCAUGGCAUGUAGAAGUUCCUGGGGCAAGGAUCGAACCUGCACCAUGGUAGUAGCCAUCUGAGCCACAGCAGUGACAAUGCUGGAUCCUUAACCAGGCCACAAGGGAACUCCCAGGUUUCUUUUGGGGGUGAUAAAAAUGUUCUAAAUUUAGAUCAUGCUGCUGAUGGCAUGACUGUGACUAAAGACCAAUAUACACUUUAAAGGGGUGAAUCUUCCCUAAAAAGCCAAGGCAAUCCUUAGAAAAAUGCUACUGCAAGAAUCAGGCUCCCUGACUUCAGAGUUUACUACAAAGCUACAGUCAUCAAAACAGUAUGGUACCGGCACAAAAACAGAAACACAGAUCAAUGGAACAGGAUAGAAAGCCCAGAAAUAAACCCAUGCACCUAUGGUCAACUAAUCUACAACAAUGGAGGCAAGAAUAGCCAAUGAAGGAAAGACAGUCUCUUUAAGAAGUGGUGCUGGUGAGAGAGGAUUAAGAUGGUGGAAUAGAAGGUUUGGAGCUCAACUUCUCUCCCAAAAACAACAAAAUUCACAACUAAAGGCUGAGCAAUCUCCACCCAAAUGGACCGGAAACCUUAAGAAAGAUACCCUACUCCAGAAGAAAAAGAGGAGGCCACAUCAAGAGGUAGGAGGGGCGAUUUCACGAUAUAAACAACCCCAUACCUCCCAGGUGGCAAGCUCCACAGAAUGAAAACUGGCUCACAGAGACUCACAUACAGGAGUGAGAGUUCUGAGCCACACAUCAAACCCUCAUGUGCGGGGAUCUGGCACUGGGAGAAAGAGCCCCUGGAGCAUCUGGCAUUGAAGGCCAGUGGGACUUGUUUGCAGGAGCUCCACAGGACUGGGGGAAACAGAGACCCCAUUCUUAAAAGGCACACACGGACUUUCACAUGCACUGGGUCCCAGGGCAGAGUGAGGUCUCCACAGGAACCUAGGUCAAACCUGACUGCAGUUCUUGGAGGACAUCAUGGGAAAACAGGGGUGAAUGUGGCUUGUUGUGAGGGAGGGACAUUGAAGGCAGAGCUCUCGGGAAUAUUCAGCAGCAGUGCCUUUCUCUGGAGGUGGCCAUUUUGGGAAAAUCUGGCCCCACCCCAUCAGUCAGUGCUGAGAAGCCCCAGGGCAAACAACAAUCCAGGUGGGAUCACAGCCCCACCCCUCAGUAAACAGGCUACCUAAAGACCCCCCCAGGCACACAGCUGCCUCUAAUCCCAUCCAGAGACUAAGCCCACCCACCAGAGGGAUUAAAAUCAGCUCCACCUACCAGUGGGCAGACAUCAGCCCCUCCCAUCAGGAAGCCUACAGCAAGCCCCCCAUACCGACUUCAGCCACAAGGGGGGCAGACACCAGAAGUAAAAGAGGCUACAACUCUAUUACCUAUAAAAAGGUCACUACACCAAAAACCUACAAAAAUGAAAAGACAGAGAACUAUAACUCAGAUGAGGGAGAAAGGAAAAACCCCAGAAAAUCAGCUAAGCAAUGAGGAGAUUCUCAGCCUCCAGGAAAAAGACUUUAGACUGUUGAUGCUGAAGAUGAUGCAAGACAUUGGAAAUAAACUGGAGGCAAAGAUGGAUAACUUACAGGAAACACUGACCAAAGAGAUACAAGAUAUAAAACUUAAACAAGAAGAGAUGCAAAAUACAAUAACUGAAAUUAAAAAAUGCACUAGAAGCAGCUAACAGCAGAAUACAGGAGGCAGAAGAACAAAUAAGUGAGGUGGAGGACAGAUUAGCGGAAAUUACGGAUGCAGAACAGAAAAGAGAAAAAAGACUGAAAACAAACAAAGAGAGUCUUGGAGAACUCUGAGACAACGUUAAACACAUCAACAUCCGUAUUAUAGGGGUGCCAGAAGGAGAAGAGAGAGAAGGGGACAGAAAAAAUAUUCCAAGAGAUAAUAGCCGAAAACUUCCCUAACAUGGGAAAGGAACCACUCACUCAAAUCCAGGAAGCAUAACGAGUACCAUAUAAAAUAAACCCAAGGAGGAAUACAUUGAGACACAUAUUAAUCAAACUAACCAAAAUUAAAGACAAAGAGAAAAUCUUGAAAGCAGCUAGGGAAAAGAAACAAGUAACAUACAAGGGAACCCCGAUAAGGUUAUCAGCAGAUUUUUCAGCAGAAACUCUGCAGGCCAGAAGGGAGUGGCAUGAUACACUUAACAUGAUGAAAAGAAAAAGCCUUCAACCAAGAAUACUCUACCCAGCAAGGCUCUCAUUCAGAUUUGAAGGAGAAAUCAAAACCUCCUCAGAUAAGCAAAAGCUGAGAGAAUUCAGCAACACUAAACUAACCUUACAACAAAUACUAAAGGAACUUCUCUAGGCAGAAAAGACAAGACAGCAACAGGAAAGAAAAACUCUACAAAUGACAAGGCUCACCAGUAAAGGUAUAUAUACAGUAAAGAUAUGAAAUCAUCCAUGCACAAUUAUACCACCAAAAUAAAAAAUCCUGAGAAGAGGUGGGUACAAAUGAAGGACACUGGAGAUGAACUUGCAAUUAAGAGAACAACCUAAAACAAUCUCAUAUACAUAUAGACUCUUACAUCAAAACUUCAGAAUAACUGCAAAUCAAAAAUCUACAAUUGAUACACAAAGAAUCUCUGGAGAAGAAAUAUAUCUCAUAGUAAAUAAGUGCAUAAUCCACCAUGAAGGGGGUCAUCUGACAUCAUUCUUGGAAUGCUGAAGUCUUCUUAGAUCUGAUUCUGAUUUCCUCUCCAUCAAAGAAUUUAUGAUAAUUAUAAUUAAAUAAUGCAACUGUACAAUUAAAAAAAAGAGAAGCAGUGCUGGGAAAACUGGACAGCUACACAUAAAAGAACAAAAUAGGAACAUUCUCUAACAACAUACACAAAAAUAAACUCAAAAUGGAUUAAGUACUGGAUAUUAUAAAACUCUUAAGAGGAAAACAUAGGCAGAACACUCUGACGUAAACCAUAGCAGUAUCUUUUCAGAUCCACCUCCUAGAGUAAUAGAAAUGAAAACAAAGGACCUAAUUAAAAGCUUUUGUAAAGCAAAGGAA
rnacentral:lncRNA from 1 species